rnacentral:rRNA from 1 species
UACGUAGGGCGCAAGCGUUGUCCGGAAUUAUUGGGCGUAAAGAGCUCGUAGGUGGCUUGUCGCGUCUGCCGUGAAAGCCCAUGGCUUAACUGUGGGUCUGCGGUGGAUACGGGCUGGCUAGAGGUAGGUAGGGGCAAGCGGAAUUCCCGGUGUAGUGGUGAAAUGCGUAGAUAUCGGGAGGAACACCAGUGGCGAAGGCGGCUUCCUGGCCUGUUCUUGACGCUGAGGCGCGAAAGCUAGGGGAGCAAACGGG